GUGGCUUUUAUGUGCCACAGAGCUCUGGGGACCAUCAGAGCAGCACUUGCAAACUGCCAGCCAUUCAGGAUUCUCCCCGGACCAGUGCAUAUCUGCAGGGACUUGUGACCCUCCCCAACAAGCCCAGAGUGGCCCAGCUGCUGGGCAGGGGUGGACACAUCCCGAGGGACCAGCUUCCCAUAGUGAUCAGGACUCUGGAUGAGCCAGUCCCGGCCACCUCACGGGAUCACCGGCCAGGCACAGUGUCCCAGCAAGGCACCAGGACACCAGGACUCCGCCAGCCACUCCAGCCCCGUGAGACUUGAGCAGCCCUCAAGCAGCUGGACAGGACUGGGAAGCCAGUGCUCCACCAGGGUUGCUUUGUCAG